UUCACAGGCUCAGAGGCUUAUAGAUCCAAGCCCUGCGAACUAGAGGCUUAUGGCUAAGGCUUCAGAAGCUGGAGA
rnacentral:pre_miRNA from 14 species